AACAAUAACAGUAUGAGUCCAAUCACUAAGGAAAGUAGAUUUGAGCCCACCAGACACAGUAUACAACCAUACUCCUAAAGGAAGUAAAAAUCCUGCUGCAACAACAUGCAUUCCAGUGAUUGCCGAUAUAGCCUGAGAACCACCGAGGAGAAGCAUGGCAGAAACGAUGAUAUUUGUACCAAGCGCGUAAAAUAAAAAGACUGCAUGACUUGCUUGGCCAAAUCUUGCUUUAACAAUUUCAACAAUUGUGUGUGCUCCUGGUGCUACUCUUUUUACUUGUAAAGCAAUCACCGUAAAAAAUGUAAUUUGAACUGUAAAUGCAAAUGAAUACCACAUACUUCCACAUACGCCAUACUCAUAAGCCAUUCCUGCUGAAGUCAACAGCGUACCUGGCCAAGUCCAUGAAGAUACAACUGCUGAGGAUAUUAAACCUGUUUUUACUGAUCUGGAAGCAGUUGUGAAGUGUUCAGAAUCCUGAACUUCUCCGACGUAACGUUUAAGUACGUACGUUACUAGUAUCAUAACAAUUGCAAAUGCAAAUCCCAAACCUAUAACGAUUCCAUAUCCAUAUCCCUGGUUAAGAACUGUUUCUGUCAUUUUGAGUUUCCAAAUAAUAGUCUAAGUUCCUGUUCUUACCAUCAGAAUGCCUUGUAUUUAUACUGAUUAUUCGCAGUGAACAAUAAGACACCUU